rnacentral:rRNA from 1 species
UACGUAGGGUGCGAGCGUUGUCCGGAAUUAUUGGGCGUAAAGGGCUCGUAGGCGGUUUGUCGCGUCGGGAGUGAAAACUCAGGGCUUAACCCUGAGCCUGCUUCCGAUACGGGCAGACUAGAGUGUGGUAGGGGAGACUGGAAUUCCUGGUGUAGCGGUGAAAUGCGCAGAUAUCAGGAGGAACACCGAUGGCGAAGGCAGAUCUCUGGGCCGUAACUGACGCUGAGGAGCGAAAGCAUGGGGAGCGAACAGG